rnacentral:rRNA from 1 species
CACGUAGGGGGCAAGCGUUGUCCGGAUUUAUUGGGCGUAAAGAGCUCGUAGGCGGUUCGCUAAGUCGGGUGUGAAACCUCCAGGCUCAACCUGGAGACGCCACCCGAUACUGGUGUGACUCGAGUCCGGUAGGGGAGCGUGGAAUUCCCGGUGUAGUGGUGAAAUGCGUAGAUAUCGGGAGGAACACCAGUGGCGAAGGCGACUUCCUGGCCUGUUCUUGACGCUGAGGCGCGAAAGCUAGGGGAGCAAACGGG